rnacentral:rRNA from 1 species
GAUGAACGCUGGCGGCGUGCCUAAUACAUGCAAGUCGAGCGAACGGACGAGAAGCUUGCUUCUCUGAUGUUAGCGGCGGACGGGUGAGUAACACGUGGAUAACCUACCUAUAAGACUGGGAUAACUUCGGGAAACCGGAGCUAAUACCGGAUAAUAUUUUGAACCGCAUGGUUCAAAAGUGAAAGACGGUCUUGCUGUCACUUAUAGAUGGAUCCGCGCUGCAUUAGCUAGUUGGUAAGGUAACGGCUUACCAAGGCAACGAUGCAUAGCCGACCUGAGAGGGUGAUCGGCCACACUGGAGCUGAGACACGGUCCAGACUCCUACGGGAGGCAGCAGUAGGGAAUCUUCCGCAGUGGGCGAAAGCCUGACGGAGCAACGCCGCGUGAGUGAUGAAGGUCUUCGGAUCGUAAUACUCUGUUAUUAGGGAAGAACAUAUGUGUAAGUAACUGUGCACAUCUUGACGGUACCUAAUCAGAAAGCCACGGCUAACUACGUG